CUGCGUGAUGUGUCCACCCCAGGCUUGUUCCCACUAAAAGAAACUGAAGCUCUUUCUUGGGAAUUGAAAAUGAAAUCCUGGUACAGAGCUGACACUUUCUCAUGGCUCAAGAGGAAAGCAGUGGGCUGUCCCUCUAUAGUAUCUAGAGAUUCACUCUCUUUCUUUCAUUUCCUAGGGCUUUUCUUCCUCCUCAACUCUACCCACAGGCUAUUCUUAUAGUUAUUUUACCAUUUUUAUAGGGUCCCUCUUAAAUAACAGUGGGAAAAGAGGAAGUGUCUCCAAAGUAUCUUAUGACAAGCCCAAAUUCAUCCAAAUAGCUGUGCCCUCUGAACCAAGCCUCGUUGGCCAGCCUGCCACAAAGAACGAACAUUUCCUUAGUUGUUCAGUGACACUUGUGGCUAAAAGGUUAUGCAACACUGCAUAGGAGCAAAAAUAAGGGAGGGAGAGCAGGAACACAGAAAUCGAGUCACAGGGAAGAAGCAGCUGGAAGCCUCCUCAGCUGAGCUAUUCUGUUUGUAGGUUUUGGAAAUGAUGAGCACACGAAGCAUCACUACUGAGGAAGUGUGACUUCCUGGAGUUUGUGUUUUCUUGGUGGUUGACAUGGCCAGAGCUUGCUGUAGCCUCUCCAUUUUUACCAUCAAGGAGGGGCAUCCCAGGCAGGGUCAAAAGGACAAGGUACAACUUCUGGCCUAGGAGAGAAAGAAAAAGCAAGGCAAAUAAAUAUCUCAUCAUAGAGGUGUAUAGGACAGAUAGCAAAUGUGUAAGUUCCAAAAGGUCUAAAGAUGCCAAAAGAACAAUGAGAAAUAAGUCAAACUUGCCUCAGAGCAACAGUGGCUAAUGACAAGGGAAAUGUCUUCAUGAGAGUAGAAUGUCAUACUGCGGACAGGAAAAGCCAAGGAAGGAGACAGAUUCAAGUAGCAUGAGUCCUUGUGACAAAGACACAUGUCAUCAAUCAACUCAAGAAAGAAGCAGAUCUGGGGUCUUCCCAGAGAGCUUGGAGCCAAGGGGAGCUGCAUAAGGACUCUAU
rnacentral:lncRNA from 1 species